GCCCGGCCGGCUCAGUCGGUAGAGCAUGUGACUCCUGACCUCAAGGUUGUGAGUUCAAGCCCCACGCUGGGCA